GGAGGAGGAGGAGAAAGUGGCUCUCAGCGGCCGGUCGGAUUAAAAGUAACCAGACUCGUCCAGAAAACUGCGUCCAGGAAGGAAGUGACAGAAGACGAAUGGGAAAAGGAGAACAGCUCACAGCGUUUGAAACAUCGCGGCACCACUUUCAGAUAAAAACAUAGACCUGAAUGGCAUCAUCCAGUAUCCAAGGAAACCAUUGUGUCUGUAACCAGCUAAUGAGCUGCAACAGAGCCUGGCCUUCAUUUUCAGCAAAUUAAGUUCAUCCCUCAUAGGAAUUGUGGUCUGGCUGUGGCACCGCUCCUAGAAGAAAGUUGAGAAAGAACGAAGAGGGCUUAGAUGCUGGUGGGUGUCUGCAAAAAAGCCCAGACAAUGCCUGGAAUAAUAAAGAAGCAGAGAACUUCCAGGGAGGAAGGGAACAGUCUCUAAGAUGGAGCAGGACCUGGGGAAGUCUUGCUUCUCCACUGAAGAACAUGGACCAAGACCAGGGCAGAAGGGAUGGCAGCUUCCCCGUAGAGCAGUGAGGACGGAUGACGACAUGAAGACUGGACUGCUCAUUCUCACCUUCCCUUCACAGUCCCUGGCACUUUUUAAGCUCCUUGGAAAUUAGAGGCAAUCUAGGAGAAAGGGGGAUAGAAGCAGACCUUAUUUCUGUUACAAUGUGAAUGGGAGCUUCAAAUUGAAGAUAAAAUGUUAUGGAAAAAGUGAAAUUAUAUAUAUAUUUUGCACAUCGUAGCUUGGUGGCUUUAGGUUUCUGUGCAUCAAAGGAAGGAAUUGUGUCUUCCUCAUUGUCAUACUCUGGUAUUGGAGAUUGUGCAACAUAUAUAGUAGGUAUGCAAUAAACAGCUGUUAACAGAAU
rnacentral:lncRNA from 1 species